GGGGGCGUAGUUCAAUGGCGUAGAACACCCGACUUCUAAUCGGGCCAUCCGGGUUGGAAUCCCGGCGCCUCCA
rnacentral:tRNA from 1 species